rnacentral:rRNA from 1 species
CCUACGGGAGGCAGCAGUGGGGAAUAUUGGGCAAUGGGCGCAAGCCUGACCCAGCAACGCCGCGUGAAGGAAGAAGGCUUUCGGGUUGUAAACUUCUUUUGUCAGGGAAGAGUAGAAGACGGUACCUGACGGAUAAGCCACGUCUAACUACGUGCCAGCAGCCGCGGUAAUACGUAGGUGGCAAGCGUUGUCCGGCUUUACUGGGUGUAAAGGGCGUGUAGCCGGGUUGACAAGUCAGAUGUGAAAUCCUGCGGCUUAACCGCAGAACUGCAUUUGAAACUGUUGGUCUUGAGUACUGGAGAGGCAGACGGAAUUCCUAGUGUAGCGGUGAAAUGCGUAGAGAUUAGGAGGAACACCAGUGGCGAAGGCGGUCUGCUGGACAGAAACUGACGGUGAGGUGCGAAAGCGUGGGGAGCAAACAGGAUUAGAUACCCCAGUAGUC